rnacentral:rRNA from 1 species
CAUGCUAGUCGAACGCGUUAAUAACGAGUGGCGAACGGGUGAGUAAUAUACGGGAAUCUACCUUAUAGUUUGGUUAAAUGCCUUAUAUAGAAAGAAUUAUUCGCUAUAAGAUGAGCCUUUGUAGGAUUAGGUAGUUGGUAAGGUAAUAGCUUACCAAGCCGAUGAUCCUUAAUUGGUCUGAGAGGAUGUACAAUCACACUAGAACUGAGACAAGGUCUAGACAUCUACGGAUGGCAGCAGUGGGGAAUAUUGAACAAUGAGCGAAAGCUUGAUUCAGCGAUAUAGAGUGAAUGAUGACAGCCAUUUGGUUGUAAAGUUCUUUUACCAAGGAAGAUUUUGACUUUACUUGGAGAAAAAGCCCCGGCAAAUUUCGUGCCAGCAGCCGCGGUGAUACGAAAGGGGCUAGUGUUAUUCGGAAUAAUUGGGUGUAAAGGGUGAGUAGGUUGUAAUCAUAGUUAACAAUUAAAUCUUAGUAGUAAUUACUAAAUCAAUUUUUAAUAACAAAUUACUAGAGUAGAAAAGAGGAUUGUAGAAUUUCAAGUGGAGAAAUAAAAUUCGUAGAUUUUUGAAGGAAUAUCGAAAGCGAAGGCAACAAUCUGGUUUUAUACUGACA